GUCUGCGCGCGCACUGAUGAUAAAAUUACAGGGCCGCGGUAUUCUGACCGUGCGAAAGUAGCAUAAUACUUAUUCUCCUAAGUAGAGGCUUGUAUGAAUGGUCAGACCAAAUGGUAGCUGUCUCACUACUUUAAAUAAAAUUUAAUAUUUAAUCUAAUAAAGCUUACAUAAAAUGAAAUGACGAACAAACCCAUACUAUAGCUUUAUAAUAUGUUCUUCUUAUGUAAGUUAUCCCGCUUAUUAAACUAUUUUAAGAAUCAUAUUAUUUUACCGGGGCGGUAAUGGUAUAAUUUGUCGAGAUUAACUGCUUUUCUUUUGUAUGACAUCUUUACUUGACAACUAAUUGAUCCAUUAUUAAUGAUCACAAGAACAAGUUACUUUAGGGAUAACAGCGUACUUCUUUUUGAGAAUCCUUAUCGCAAAAAAAGAUUGCGACCUCCAUCUUGAAUUACCGAUACCUUAAGGUGCAUCAAGUUUUAUCGGUAGAUCAGUUCGAUCUUCAAACCCUUACGUGAUCUG
rnacentral:rRNA from 1 species